rnacentral:rRNA from 1 species
GACGAACGCUGGCGGCGUGCCUAACACAUGCAAGUCGAACGGAAGUAAGAGCUUCGGUUUUACUUUAGUGGCGAACGGGUGAGUAACACGUGGGGAACCUGCCCCUAAGUCUGGGAUACCAUUUGGAAACAGGUGCUAAUACCGGAUAAUAAAGCAGAUCGCAUGAUCAGCUUUUGAAAGGCGGCGUAAGCUGUCGCUAAGGGAUGGCCCCGCGGUGCAUUAGCUAGUUGGUAAGGUAACGGCUUACCAAGGCGACGAUGCAUAGCCGAGUUGAGAGACUGAUCGGCCACAAUGGAACUGAGACACGGUCCAU